AUUGAACGCUGGCGGCAUGCCUUACACAUGCAAGUCGAACGGCAGCACGGGAGCAAUCCUGGUGGCGAGUGGCGAACGGGUGAGUAAAGUAUCGGAACGUGCCCAGUCGUGGGGGAUAACGUAGCGAAAGUUACGCUAAUACCGCAUACGAUCUAUGGAUGAAAGCGGGGGAUCGCAAGACCUCGCGCGAUUGGAGCGGCCGAUAUCAGAUUAGGUAGUUGGUGGGGUAAAGGCUCACCAAGCCGACGAUCUGUAGCUGGUCUGAGAGGACGACCAGCCACACUGGGACUGAGACACGGCCCAGACUCCUACGGGAGGCAGCAGUGGGGAAUGUUGGACAAUGGGCGAAAGCCUGAUUCAGCCAUGCCGCGUGCAGGAUGAAGGCCUUCGGGUUGUAAACUGCUUUUGUACGGAACGAAAAGGUUUGGCCUAAUAAGCUGAGCUCAUGACGGUACCGUAAGAAUAAGCACCGGCUAACUACGUGCCAGCAGCCGCAGUAA
rnacentral:rRNA from 1 species